GGGCGUAAGCGCGCGCAGGCGGCCUUUUAAGUUGGAUGUGAAAGCCUAUGGCUCAACCAUAGAACUGCAUCCAAAACUAUCAGGCUAGAGUGUGGGAGAGGAAGAUGGAAUUAGUUGUGUAGGGGUAAAAUCCGUAGAGAUAACUAGGAAUACCAAAAGCGAAGGCAAUCUUCUGGAACAUUACUGACGCUGAGGCGCGAAAGCGUGGGGAGCAAACAGGAUUAGAUACCCUGGUAGUCCACGCCCUAAACGAUGAAUGUUAGUCGUCGGGUAGCUAGUCUAUUCGGUGAUGCAGCUAACGCAUUAAACAUUCCGCCUGGGGAGUACGGUCGCAAGAUUAAAACUCAAAGGAAUAGACGGGGACCCGCACAAGUGGUGGAGCAUGUGGUUUAAUUCGAAGAUACGCGAAGAACCUUACCUAGCCUUGACAUAUUUUAGAACACUUUAGAGAUAGAGUGGUGCCUUCGGGAGCUAAUAUACAGGUGCUGCACGGCUGUCGUCAGCUCGUGUCGUGAGAUGUUGGGUUAAGUCCCGCAACGAGCGCAACCCUCGUCACUAGUUACUAACGGUUCGGCCGAGGACUCUAGUGAGACUGCCUUCGCAAGGAGGAGGAAGGUGAGGACGACGUCAAGUCAUCAUGGCCCUUACGGCUAGGGCAACACACGUGCUACAAUGGCCAGGACAAUGAGAAGCGAUACCGCGAGGUGGAGCAAAUCUAUAAACCUGGUCUCAGUUCGGAUUGUAGUCUGCAACUCGACUACAUGAAGCUGGAAUCACUAGUAAUCGUAGAUCAGCUAUGCUA
rnacentral:rRNA from 1 species